rnacentral:lncRNA from 1 species
ACUCUCACUAUGCCCCCGUAACAGAGUCAGUUUUUAGGCGGAGGGUGAGAAUGGCUUGAAAAUUUGCUGAAUGCUAUCCAUCUCCCAGCCCCCAGAGAAAAGGGCUUUAGUUCCUCCCCCUGCCUGUGAAGUCUGCAGGCCAGAUUCGCGCCCUCCCCUGAGUUCUGGCCAGGAGGCUUCUUGCCCUGUUCAAAUGGUUACAAAGUUCAGCUAGAGAAUUCCUUCUCCCUGUAGAGUUUUACCCCCUGCUCCUCUGGCCGCCCUCCGGAUGGAUCUUUGUGUUGCCAGGCAGGAAUGGGCUGCUUGGGGACCCAGUGAGCUCCGAGGGCCUUUCUGCUGCUUCCUGUACCCCUGUAUUUCGCUCAGCUCUCUGACUUGACUCAGCUCCAGACAUCUACCCCUGGAGAAAGAGCCCAAUGAGAAGUAAUCUCUGAAGCCCAGAUUUCCUAAGGAUGAAGCUUCAGGAGAGGCCUUAUCAAUCCUGACAACAAACUUUUCUCGUCAAUUUAGUUUCAUUUAAUGGAAGUUUUAAAUGUGUAAAGUUCAGAAGGCUAUUAAAAUUGGUUCCAGCUAUCUAAGAUACACACACAACCACACACGCGCACACACGAAUACAAAUAUGCCUUCCCAAUCAUCUCCCAAAGUCUCAACUCAUUCCAGCGUUAACUCAAAGACCAAAAUUCAAAGUCUCAUCUGAAACAAGGUGUUGCCAAAGGAGAUUAUUAUUUGAGUCAGAGGACUGGGAGAAGCAGACCUACCCUCGAUCUGGGUGGGUGUCAUCUAGUCAGCUGCCAGUGUGGCUAGAAUGAAGCAGGCAGAAGUUGGAAAGAGCAGACCUGCUGAGUCUUCUGGCCCUCACCGUUCUCCCGUGCUGGAUUCUUCUGGCCCUCAAACAUCAGACUCCACGUUCUUCAGCUUUUGGACUCAUGGACUUACACCAGUGGUGUGCCAGGGCCUCUUGAGCCUUUGGUCACAGACUGAAGGCUACACUGUCAGCUUCUCUAAUUUUGAGGUUUUGGGACUCAGACUGAUCCACCACUGGCUUCCUUGCUCCUCAACUUGCAGAUGGCUUCUCACGGGACUUGACUUUAUGAUCAUACUUGGCCAAUAAGAUGUUCCUGCCUAAGACUUUGAAUCUGGAAUGGGGAACACAGAGAACAUGAGCAACGAAGAAUUAUUCACAGCACAGCACAGCAGUGCUGACAGCAUCGACAGUCCUGUGGUGCCAGCAAGAAUCCAAAAGAAGUGUCCUACAUAAAUUCCCUUAAUCACUGACCAUUUAAUGAGGCUGAUUCAGCCUCAUACAAAUUUUGUAUGCUUCUUCAUACAAUUUUUAAUUGUGCUGUAAAAGUUAACCAGAGACAAUUUCUGUUGCUUGCACACAGUAAGUUGACUAAGCAAAAAAAUUCAGGAGAGAUUAUUUUAUAGAAGUCAAUGCAAAUGCAUUAAUUUACAAGAAGUGAAACUGCAAGUUCACUUUGCUGCCUUAUGGCCAGCAUAUUCUCUUACAAGGGAAGUCUAUAUGGCAAUCUGUGUUAUGAUCAGAAGAUUUGGGAAAGAUGGAAUCUGUGAGAGAGUUUUAUGACACACGGUUACAACUGAUCACAGGAUCAAACACUAAAACUCCAAUAUAUAUAUUUAUUCUUAUUAGCAAAGCUUUUAUGCUAUGGAGGAAAAAGAAAAAGAAAUAAGAAAUUCUGAGUUUCUCUAAACUUCCAGUAUGUGGAUGAGUUAAAAACUAUGUCAUCUUGGAUUCCCCAUUUUAAAUAUUUCAUAAUAAUGCAUUAUAAUUGGUACAUGUUAAUAUCAAUUUUUUCUUUUGCUGUUUUUGAAGUGGUGUGAAUCACCUGUAACAAGGUUUCCUUAUCAUCCAUUUAAUUAUUGUCCUAUAAUAUACUUUUCAAUACAGCAACUACUUUUUAUGUUUUGGGAUUACUUUUACUAUUGUUAGAUAAAACCUAUGGUUGAUUGUGUGCCUCUAGAAGAACUUCAAAAGUACAAUAUAAAUCUUGCUAACAAUAACUCAUUAUGGUCAGUGGUUUUUCAGGAUAGUUAUUUAUCUCAACUACUCAUGAUGUGAAUGUCUUUUAAAAUUUGAAUAAUUGCCCUCUCUGUCAGAUACAAUAUUAUUAUAUUUUUACUGAUUACAUUAAGAAUUAGGCAAGAUUAAAAUUUUCUUUUUGCACCAUCAUUACUUCUUAAGAACUUAACUGUUGUUGAACAAAUAGUACGUGUGUCAGUUAUUAAAUGUAGUCUAAAUUCAUGAAAUAAGAAUGUACAUAUAGCAUAGUGGGAAAAACACAGGUUUUAGAAUCAUAUACCAUAGAGUUAUGUUUCAGUAGUGCUACUAAUGUAUUCUUUGACCCUACGUCAGUCAGCAAACACAACUGAAAUCAAGUGGUAACUCUAUGUUCCUCCUUUGUGUAAUAAGUAUUUUUACAUGUUUGAGAUCAAAUGAUAUAGUGUGUUAAAAUUAUUUAUAAGCUAAAAUAUUUUAUAAAUAAUAGCUGUACUUAUUAAAAAUUAGAGAUUAAUAAGUUGUUACAUAAAACACACGUAAGCGAUUCAAUGUUAGGAAAAUAUAUUUAGCUUUCUCAAAAUUUUAUUUCAUAAAGCAAAGUUUCCUACAUUAACUAUCCAGCUAUCUGUUGUGUUUUUCAUCAUCAUCACAAAUGGAUUCAGACUGGCUACCAUAUAAAAACACUCAUAAAUUCUAGGAAUGCCAGAAGUUCCUGUCCUCAACUAUCUAAUUGUAUUCUUUAGAUAACUUCACAUAUUAUGAAGAUAAAUAACUAGCGAUACAGCAGAACCCAUGGUAAAUAGCACUGAGUCAUGCAGUUAAUGAGCAUAAUGUGGACAGAAGAGAAAAUCACUGUUGCUUCUGUCCCUUGGAGCAGGUGGACUUCAGCUGAAACUUGAGGGAAUACUGUCCAUUCUGUUUAGGAAGCAUUGCUAGGAAGAGUGUAUUGCCAGCUGCUUGUGUUUUUAAAGUCACUGCAUGCAUGUGUGGUAAUUUGUUAUGGCGACAUUAGGAAACUCAUACAAAUUUUGAUGUCUGAGAGUUAUAUACUGCUGUAACAAAUAUCUAUAAAAUGUCAAAGUGGCUUUGGAAUUCGGCAGUGAGUGAGGCUAAGAGAAUGUUGAAGGUCAUCCGAGAAAAACUUACAUUGUUUUGAACACAUUGUUAGUAGAAAUGUGGUUGUUAAUGAUUCUGCUAGAAAGGACUUAGAAGAAAGUGAAGAGAAGAGCAUGGUAGAGAAGGCAUAGACUGCGUUAGAGCAUACAUGAAUCAGCAUGAACAGACUUAGUAAAAAUAGGGACAUAAAAAGUACUAUUGGUGAAGGCUUAGAAGGAAAUAAAAAACACAUUAAAAAUUUGAAGAAAGAAUUUCCAUAUUAUAUAGCGGUAGAAACUUAGCAAAGUUGUCCUACGUUCAGGUGAAAAAUAGAACUUGUAAAUGAUGAAAUUGAAUACGUAAGUAAGGAUAUUUCCAAGCAAAGGGUUGAAGAAGCCGCCUGGCUUCUUGUUUCUUCUCAUAGCAAAAUGCAAUGAGAAAGAGAUAAUUUGAGAAAAGAACCGUUUAAACAAAAAGAAACCAAGACAUAAUGAUUUUGGAAAUUCUCAGUUUAUUCAGACUGCAAAAGAUAUUAAAAUAAAGAAACUCAGUAACAGGGAUAGAUAAUCUAAAGAAAAAGCCUAGGACACGGCUGUAGUAACCUUCUGUUUUUAUACCUCAGCAAUUUGCUAAUGCCUCAAAAAGAUCAAAAGUACUCAAAUAUAAAGGGCUCUUUGAAGAGAUUAGAUUUCCUCAAUCAAACCAAAGAGCAUCGAGGAAGCUUAAGGUUACUGUCCCUCACAUAUCUCAGCAGAAGGCAAAAAUAGAAGACUGAUUAUCUAAGAAAGAUCUCUGAAAGAGUCUCAUAUUAUGGAGUGAACCCCUGUGGCAUACAUGGGAGACCCACUUGGUUCUUGAGAAUUUUAUAUCAGGAGAAACACUGUCAGUCUGUAUUGAAAGGAACAGAGAAAAUACGAAAUUAAAGAAGACUAUUAAACCUCCAAAAUUCUGGCAGGAAAGAAGCUUACACAGCUACUCAGUUGCAAAGAUCUGCCACUUUUCAUAUACAUGAAAGGACUCAGAGGAGGAAGCCACAGGUUUAGAAGGAAAAGCUAAAAGCAACAUCGUAUUAGUCUUGGAUCUAGGAACCUAAUUUCUCUAGCAGAAUCUAGAAAUGGCUUGGGACAAGUGAUUGUUUUUUUACCUAGGAUUUUCUCCCUCUUGAAAACAGGACUGUCUGUAACUAUUAUCCUAUGCCUGCCCUACCAUCAUAUUUCAGAAACAGGUAACUUAUGUUUUCACUUUCAAAGAUUCACAAUAAAGAGAAAUUGUACCUCAGAAUGGAUUAUACCAGAGCUUUCCUCAUGCAUAAAUUAAAUAAUUUAGGUUAUGUGAUUUGAAGCUUUUGAGUGGGUGAGGUGACAUUUUGGAUGCUGAGUUGGUGCCGUAGUGAGUCCAGAAUUCUGCGGAACUUGGUUUCGGUUAAUGAAUUUUGUAGGUGAGAUAGUCUUAAAUCUUUAGAGUUUAGAAAGUGGAAUGUCCUACCCAGCAUAAAAAUCCCCCAGUGAUGUACAUGUCCUAGUUCCCAGAACCUAUACAUAGGUUAACAUAUAUGGCAGGCGUGAUUACGAUUAAAUAAUUUGAUAUGAGUAGAUUAUUGUCAAGGUGGUCCCAAUCUCAUCACAGCAGUCCUAAUAAGCAGAAAACCUUUCCAGGCUUCCCUGUUGUCAGUGAACCAGGGAAGCCUGGUGUGUGGGAAGAACUCUAUUCGCCAUUGGUUGCUUUAAAGAUGGAAGGGGCCACAAACCAGGAAAUGUGGUUGGUUUCUAGCAGCUGGAAAAGGCAGGAAAGAGAUUUUCCCCUAGAUCUUCUGAAGAGAAAUGCAAUCCCACUAAUACCUUGAUUUUAGCUCAGUGAAACUUUUGUCAGACUUCUGACCUAUAGAACAACAAGGUAAUAAAUUAUUGUAGUUUUAUACGACUAAUAUUUUGGUAACUUCAAUGGCAGCAAUAGAAAACAAAUGCAUGUAAAAAUUAUUGCCCAUGAAAACUUUGUUUCAGUAAUGUAUAUAUACAUAUAUCUCAGUCAUAUAGAUAAAGAGGUACAUACAUACAUACACAUACAUAUAUGCUACAGAAAGUUCACCCUCCUCAAAGUAGUAUGCAAAUGGACUGUACAAACUGAAACCAUGAAAAGUGAUUUUAAUAAUCAAUGGGAAAAAUUAUAAUUGUACCGUAAUCUUUAAUGAUGUUUGUCAAGACUUUACAAUCUCUCUUAUUGUUGGUUAUAAAUUUACAAAGAAUUAAAAGGUAAUAAAACUAGUCUUACCUAGUACUCUUUAAUUUAAAACACUUGAAACAUUGAGGUUGAAGUACUUUACUUCUUUGUAAAAAACUUAGUAUAAAUUGUUGAUACACUCAACACUUGGAUGGAAAUUGUUGGGUAUUACUUUAAGGGAAUUAUACUAAAUGAAAAAAAAUGCAAUCUCAACAGGUAACAAAUUGUAUAUUUUCAUUUAUAAAAUAGUCACAAGAUUACAAAAUUGUAGAGGAGGAGAAUAGAUUAAUGGUCAUAGGACUUAGUUGUUUCGGGGGAAAGAGGUGGGUAUGAUUAUAAAGGAAGCAUGGUUCCUAUGCUGCUGGAACUGUUGUGAUUGGAGUCGUGGCUACGGAAGGCUACAUGUGUGCUAAAAUUGCAUAGAACUGCAUAUGUACAUGUUUAUAUAUGUUUUUAUGUUUAUUGUCAUACAAGAUGUUACCAUUUGCAGAGUCUAGGUGAAGGGUACAUGGGGGCUCCUUGUAUGUUUUUUGAAACUUUCUGUGAAUCUAUACUUAUUUUAAAAUAUAAAUAAAAUCUAUCAACAGU